GAUGAACGCUGGCGGCGUGCCUAAUACAUGCAAGUCGAGCGAACGGACGAGUAUCUUGCUUCUCUGAUGUUAGCGGCGGCCGGGUGAGUAACACGUGGAUAACCUAUCUAUAAGACUGGUAUCACUUCGGGAAACCGGAGCUAAUACCGUAUCAUAUUUUGAACCGCAUGGUUCAAAAGUGAAAGACGGUCUUGCUGUCACUUAUAGAUGGAUUCACGCUGCAUUAGCUAGUUGGUAAGGUAACGGCGUACCAAGGCAACGAUGCAUAGCCGACCUGGGAGGGUGAUCGGACAAAUUGGAAGUGAGACACGGACCAGAAUCCUACGGGAGGGAGCAGUAGGGAAGCUUUCGCAAUGGGUGCAAGCCUGACGGAGGAAGGCCGCGGGUGUUAUGAAGGUCUUCUGAUCGUAAAACUCUGUGAGCAGGGAAGAACAUAAGGGUAAGUAACCGAGAACAGCGGGACGGUACCCAGUAAGAAAGCCACGGCUAACUAAGUG
rnacentral:rRNA from 1 species